rnacentral:sRNA from 1 species
AGUGGGGGAGGGGUCAAGAAGGGAGGUUACUAGGAAGGGCUACAGGGCCCCCAACCCACUGCAUCCUGCCCUGCCAGGAUCCCCGACGCUACGAGGAGUGGAAGUGGUUCCGCUGCCCCACGCUGCUGGAGGUGCUGGAGCAGUUCCCGUCGGUGGCACUGCCUGCCCCACUGCUCCUCACCCAGCUGCCUCUGCUCCAGCCCCGGUACUACUCAGUCAGCUCAGCACCCAGCACCCACCCAGGAGAGAUCCACCUCACUGUAGCUGUGCUGGCAUACAGGACCCAGGGUGAGGCAAUGAGCAGGAGCAGGCCUGGCCACAGCAGGGGUGGGACCGGCCCCUCUCUGGCCCCUCACCGGCCUCUCCUUCCCACCCCCAGAUGGGCUGGGCCCCCUGCACUAUGGAGUCUGCUCCACGUGGCUAAGCCAACUUAAGCCUGGAGACCCUGUGCCCUGCUUCAUCCGGGGGGCUCCCUCCUUCCGGCUGCCACCCGAUCUCAGCUUGCCCUGCAUCCUGGUGGGCCCAGGCACUGGCAUUGCCCCCUUCCGGGGAUUCUGGCAGGAGCGGCUGCAUGACAUUGAGAGCAAAGGGCUGCAGCCCACUCCCAUGACUUUGGUGUUCGGCUGCCGAUGCUCCCAACUCGACCAUCUCUACCGCGACGAGGUGCAGAACGCCCAGCAGCGCGGGGUGUUUGGCCGAGUCCUCACCGCCUUCUCCCGGGAACCUGACAACCCCAA